GAUGAACGCUGGCGGCGUGCCUAAUACAUGCAAGUCGAGCGAACAGAUAAGGAGCUUGCUCCUUUGACGUUAGCGGCGGACGGGUGAGUAACACGUGGGUAACCUACCUAUAAGACUGGGAUAACGUUCGGGAAACCGGAGCUAAUACCGGAUAACAUUUGGAACCGCAUGGUUCUAAAGUGAAAGAUGGUUUUGCUAUCACUUAUAGAUGGACCCGCGCCGUAUUAGCUAGUGGUAAGUACGGCUUACCAAGGCAACGAUACGUAGCCGACCUGACGAGGGUGAUCGGCCACACUGGAACUGAGACACGGUCCAGACUCCAGGGAG
rnacentral:rRNA from 1 species